rnacentral:lncRNA from 1 species
UGUGCCUGGGGCCAUUUUGGGGUGAAAAGAAGUGGAUUUGGGGCCAAGAGCUGCUUUCCGUGCUGUGUGCCAUUUUUGGGGCCAAUCGCUACGAUUUUGGGCCAGUUUGGGGCCAAGAAUUCGCUUUUUGGGCCAUUUUUUGGGUCGAGAGCCAUUUUUUGGGGCUGAAAAUUUGGUCUUUGGGCCAAGAGCCGUUUUGGGGCCAAAACGUGGUUUUGGGGCCAAGAGCCAAUUUUGAGCCAAAAAAGGUUUUUUGGGGCCAAAACCUGUUUCUGGGGCCAGGAGCUGCUUUUGGGCUAAGAAUGGAUUUUGGGCCGAGAAGCUGGUUUUUUGGGCCAAGCGCCAUUUUGCGGCUGAGAACUGGGUGUUUUGGGGCCAAUUGCUCCGUUUCUGUUCCAAGACUCAUUUUUGGGGCCAAGAGCCAGUUUUUUGGGCCGAGAAGUGGAUUUGGGGCCAAGAAGCAGAUUUUUGGGCCAAGAAACAGAUUUUUGGGCUGAGAAACAGAUUUUGGGGCUGGGAAACGGGUCUUUUGGCUGGGAAAUGGAUUUUUGGGCCAGGAAACAGAAUUUUUGGGUCAAGAAACGGGUUUUUGGGGCUGAGAAAUGCAUUUUUGAGCCGAGAAACAGAUUUUUUGGGUCAAGAAACGGCUUUUGGGCUGAAAAGCAGAUUUUUGGGCCAAAAAAUGGAUUUUGGGCCAAGAAGUGGAUUUUUGGGCCAAGAAGUGGAUUUUUGGGCCAAGAAGCAGAUUUUUGGGCCAAGAAACAGAUUUUGGAGCCCAGAAACAGAUUUUGGGGCUGAGAAGUGACUUUUGGGCUGUGAAGCAGAUUUUUGGGCCGAGAAAUGGGCUUUUGGGGGCUGAGAAGCAGAUUUGGGGGCCGAGAAACAGUUUUUGGGUCAAGAAACGGAUUUUGGGCAGAGAAACAGAUUUUGAGGCAAGAAACAGAUUUUUGGGGCCGAGAAGCAGAUUUUGGGGCCGAGAAGUGGAUUUCUGGGGCCAAGAAACAGAUUUCUGGGGCCGAGAAGCAGAUUUUGGGGCCAAGAAGCAGAUUUGGGGUCGAGGAAUAGAUUUUUUGGGGCUGAAAAAUGGAUUUUGGGGCCGAGAAGCAGAUUUUGGGGCUGAGAAGCGGAUUUCUGGGCCCAAGAAACAGAUUUCUGGGGCCGAGAAGCCGAUUUUUGGGCUGAGAAACAGAAUUUUGGGGCCAAGAAACAGAUUUUUGCGGCCGAGAAGCAGAUUUUGGGGCCGAGAAGCGGAUUUUUGGUCCGAGAAACGGAAUUUUGGGGCCAAGAAACAGAUUUUUGCGGCCGAGAAGCAGAUUUUGGGGCCGAGAAGGAGAUUUUUGGGGCCGCGAAACGGACUUUCGGGCCGAGCGCCGCCUGCCGGCCACACGCCGGCGCCGCCGGCCGG